AGCGAACGCUGGCGGCAGGCCUAACACAUGCAAGUCGAACGAACCUUUCGGGGUUAGGGGCGGACGGGGGAGUAACACGUGGGAAGUUGCCCUUAGGUUCGGAAUAACUCAGGGAAACUUGUGCUAAUACCGAAUGUGCCCAUCGGGGGAAAGAUUUAUCGCCUUUAGAGGGGCGCGGGUCUGAUUAGCUGGUUGGGUGUGGUAAUGGCUCACCAAGGCGACGAGCAGUAGCUGGUGUGAGAGGAUGAUCAGCCACAUUGGGACUGAGACACGGCCCACACUCGUACGGGAGGCAGCAGUGGGGAAUCUUGCGCAAUGAGCGAAAGCCUGACGCAGCCAUGCCGCGUGAAUGAUGAAGGUCUUAGGAUUGUAAAAUUCUUUCACCGGGGACGAUAAUGACGGUACCCGGAGAAGAAGCCCCGGCUAACUUCGUG
rnacentral:rRNA from 1 species